UUUUCUUUUGAUUUUUUUAGG
ensembl:piRNA 21ur-12643 ncRNA